CCUACGGGAGGCAGCAGUGGGGAAUAUUGGACAAUGGGCGAAAGCCUGAUCCAGCAAUGCCGCGUGUGUGAAGAAGGCCUUAGGGUUGUAAAGCACUUUCAGUAGGGACGAAAAGCCGCAGGCUAAUACCCGGCGGUCUUGACUUAACCUACAGAAGAAGCACCGGCUAACUCCGUGC
rnacentral:rRNA from 1 species